rnacentral:rRNA from 1 species
UACGGAGGGUGCAAACGUUGCUCGGAAUCAUUGGGCGUAAAGCGCACGUAGGCGGUCCGGCAAGUCGGGUGUGAAAUCCCUCGGCUCAACCGAGGAAGUGCAUUCGAAACUUCCGGACUUGAAUAUGGAAGAGGGUCGCGGAAUUCCCGGUGUAGAGGUGAAAUUCGUAGAUAUCGGGAGGAACACCUGUGGCGAAAGCGGCUCACUGGACCGCAACUGACGCUGAGGCGCGAAAGCUAGGGGAGCGAACGGG